rnacentral:rRNA from 1 species
UACGGAGGAUGCGAGCGUUAUCCGGAUUUAUUGGGUUUAAAGGGUGCGCAGGCGGCACGGCAAGCCGGCGGUCAAAUCGCGGGGCUCAACCCCGCCCAGCCGUCGGAACUGCCGGGCUAGAGUGGGCGAGAAGUGCGCGGAAUGCGUGGUGUAGCGGUGAAAUGCAUAGAUAUCACGCAGAACUCCGAUUGCGAAGGCAGCGCACCGGCGCCCUACUGACGCUCAGGCAAGAAAGCGUGGGUAUCGAACAGG